UCCAUGAGCAGUUACUCUCCUUCCUCUGCUUUCUCAGCCCCAGGUAACCACUACUCUAUUUCCUGUCUCUAUGGAUUUGCUGAUUCAAGAUGUUUCAUAGAAAUGCAAUCAUAUCAUGUAUGGCUUUUUGUAACUAGUUUUUAAAACUUAAUACAAUGUUGUCAAAGUUCAUCAGAGCAAUAGUAUAUAUAAGAACCUAAUGCUUUUUAGUGUCCAAAGUAAGAAAAAUUCAAAUGAACCUUUUAUUUUGGAAUAUGUUUUUUGGUUUACAAAAAGUUGCAAAGAUAGCACCCUUACUCUUCAGCUAGUCUCUUCUAACGUUAACAUCUUAUAUAACCACAGCACAUUUGACAUAACUAAGAAGUAAUGCUAACUAAACUAUAGCUGUCUUGGGAUUUGACUUUUUUAAAACAAAAUAUCUUUUUUCUAUUUUAGUCUCUAAUCUAGAAAUCCACAUUGUAUUUAGUAUUCAUGUUUCUCCUGUCAUCUAGAACAGUUUUUUCAGUCUUUUUUUCUUGUUAUUCAUGACCAUGACAUUUUGAAGGGUGUAGGUCAGAUAUUUUCAUUUCCCACAAUUUAGCUUAGUCCCAUGUAUUUUUCCAUCAUGAUUAUACUAGGAUUGUUUGUUUUGUAAGAAUAGAAUGACAAAAAAAAGAAUAGCAUGGAGGAGAGGGGCUGUCCUCUUCACAGCAAAUCGGUGGACAACUGAUAGCCACAGGAUUUAUAACUGGAUUUAAACCAGAGAACACCUUGUGAAGUGCAUUGGACUCAGAUGAGUGCAAUGACAGUCAUCACAGAAUGAAAUAGGUGCCAGAGAGCCUGGACACAUUGGAAAAGCCACCAGUCGUGGUUCCAAAGGCAUGGUGCUGAGAAACUCUUGCCCGCAAUGUUCCCACACAGCUGAAAGGAGGGAAUGGUAUGGAGACUUGCCCCUCCUGACAACCAGCCACAACUUUGUUUAGAUUGAGA